UGUGGGGUCGCACAGAGUUGGACACGACUGAAGUGACUUAGCUUAGCUUAUUCUUCCAGAAUAAGUGUUCAGCCAUGACCUAUGUUUUGUUUCAGGUUUUUCUGCUGAAAUGUGGAUUGGCAGGGAAGAAGCUUCCAUGCCUUUUACUCCAUGCGCACAGACUAGCGAAGGAAACUUAGUUGAGGAUAUAGACCAGGCGCAGCCUAGCUCUUAGGCAGCUUUUCUUGGCCUCCAGUUCCUUGAUAAAGGUGAUGAGCCACACCUAAUCAGGUGUGUGGCUCGGGGCCUACUAAACGGUCAGUGUUUGCCUUAAAGUGUUGUAUAGCUGAGGCUUAUCACCAUUCUGGUUGAUUUAGAGAAACAAUCUUUGCCUUUCCAUUUAGGGAAAUAUUCAUACAGAAAGUACACUUGAACAAAACUCAUGUAGUCACAACUUUAUCAUGUGGGAAAAGACAAAGAGUGAGUACUACAGAAGAGAUGUGCGAUAUUGUUUCUUGGAUCAAAUUGUUUUUAGAGUCAUUUAGAUUAAAUGGUUUUAAAUUAGAAUUGGAUUGUUGGUUUCAUAGAAAUAGACCUUUAGAAAUGUUGAGACAGAUUACUUAGAUCUUACUUUGCUUUCUUUCCCUGAUGAGGAUAUAGACAGUGAAGUCUGAACACAUUUUUUUUUUGGCCUUGAUGUGUGGCAUGUGAAAUUCUAGUUUCCUGACCAGGGAUUGAAUCCAUGUCUCAUGUAUUAGGAGCUCCAAAUCAUAACCACUGGACUACCAGGGAAAUCCCUUAACACAUUUUUUAAAACAUGAUCACUAAAAUAGGAAAAUUGCUAACAAAAGUUUUCACGUUUGUGUAUGUGUAUUAAAUAAACCACAUGCUAAGUCCCCCUACUAAAGAACUUCGUGAUAAAAUUGGACUUGGUAGUGUUUAGUAAAAUAAAAGUUCAGCUAUGAUAUUUCCAAAUUGCAUGUUUAAUCUUUGAUUUAUAUAGUUUAAAAGUUUAAUUAUAUAAAUUUCAAACUGUCACAAGUAAUCAAUGUAGUAAGCCAUCAUAUUGCCAGCAUCUAGAUUCAACAGAUACAAGCAGGGCUGACAGUUCUUUUAUCUCAACUCUUUCCCUCUUGCUUCCCCACACUUCUACUGGAUUGUUUUAAAGGAAAUCGCAAAUAUGGCAUCUUUUCAUCAGUAAAUGCUUAUGAAUUCUGUUUUUUUUUAAUGCUUAUGUAUUCUAAGAGAUAAUAACUUGUUAAAAAAACUAACCAUAAUACCACUAUCAUACUGCUUACUGUCUUUAUCCUCCCAAGUUUUAAAAGGCCUGUCAAGGGGCUUCCCUGGCAGCCCAGUGGUUAAGACUCCACACUUCCUCUGCAGGGGACACAGGUUCUAUGCCUGGUUGGGGGAAUAAGACCCCACAUGCUGUUUGGUGCAGCCAAAAAAGU
rnacentral:lncRNA from 1 species